rnacentral:rRNA from 1 species
GCUGAUCCUGCUGGCGGGUACUGCUAUCGAAAUCCGAUUUAGCCAUGCAAGUCUAACAAUGCAAGCGUUGCGUUGUGGCGUACGGCUCAGUAACACGUAGUCAACCUGCCCUAACGAGGCGGCAAUCCCGGGAAACUGGGGUUAAUCCGCCGUAGUCCAUUCCUACUGGAAGGUGGAAUGGAUGAUAAGAACUCCGGAUUGCAGGAGUAUUCGCGUUAGGAUGGGACUGCGGCUGAUUAGGUUGUUGGCGGGGUAACGGCCCACCAAGCCGACGAUCAGUACGGGCAUUGAAAGAUGGAGCCCGGAGAAGGGCACUGAGAUAAGGGCCCUAGCCCUACGGGGUGCAGCAGUCGCGAAACCUUUACAAUGCGCGAAAGCGUGAUAGGGGGAUUUCGAGUGCCACUUUUGUGGCUUUUGCCAAGUCUAAAUCGCUUGGCGAAUAAGAGGGGGGUGAGAUACGUGCCAGCCGCCGCGGUAAUACGUACCCCUCAAGUGGUAUCCACUUAUAUUGGGCCUAAAGCGUCUGUAGCCGGUGUAACACGUCCUUGGUGAAAUUCGAGCGCUUAACGUUCGAAAUGGCCAAGGAUACGAUUACGCUCGAGGUCGGAAGAGGUCAAGGGAAUGUUCGGGGUAGCGGUGAAAUGUUGUGAUCCCGAAUGGACCACCAGUAGCGAAGGCGCUUGACCAGGACGAACCUGACGGUGAGAGACGAAAGCUGGGGGAGCGACCCGGAUUAGAUACCCGGUUAGUCCCAGCCGUAAACGAUGCAGACUAGGUGUCUUGUUACCCACGAGGUAACGGGGUGCCGUCGCGAAGGCAUUAAGUCUGCCGCCUGGGAAGUACGCUCGCAAGAGUGAAACUUAAUGGAAUUGGCGGGAGCUCACUACAAGGGGGUGGAUGCUGCGGUUUAAUUGGAUACAACGCCAGAUAAUUCACCAGGGGCGACAGCAGGAUGAUGGACAGUCUGAAGGGCUUUCCUGACACGCUGAGAGGUGUUGUAUGGUCAUCGUCAGCUCGUACUAUAAAGCGGCCAGUUAACUCUGGCAACGGGCGAAACCCACACGACUAGUUGCAAUCUUGCGAAUUUCGUAGGAGCACUCUAGUCGGGCUGCGAAGGUAACUUUGAGGAAGGAGUGGGCAACGGUAGAUCUGUAUGGCCCGAAUCUCCUGGGCAACACGCGGCAUACAAUGGAUAAGACAAUGAGACCCUAGCGCGAGAGCGUACGGAAACCCCCUAAACUUAUCCUCAGUUCGGAUCGAGGUCUGUAACUCGGCCUCGUGAAGCUGGAAUCCCCAGUAAUCGCGUGUCAUAAUCGCGCGGUGAAUAAGUCCCUGAGCUUUGCACACACCGCCCAUCAAGCCAAACGAGUAGAGUUCGGAUGAACUUCAUCCUUGAGAAAGGAUGAAUUGAUUCUGAAUUUUGUGAGUUGGGCUAAGUUGUAACAAGGU